rnacentral:ncRNA from 2 species
UACCCUCUAGAACCGAAUUUGU